rnacentral:rRNA from 1 species
UACGUAGGGUGCGAGCGUUGUCCGAAGUUACUGGGCGUAAAGAGCGCGCAGGCGGUCGUUCAAGUCGCGUGUGAAAGCCCCCGGCUCAACUGGGGAGGGUCACGCGAUACUGAUCGACUCGAAGGCAGGAGAGGGUAGUGGAAUUCCCGGUGUAGUGGUGAAAUGCGUAGAUAUCGGGAGGAACACCAGUGGCGAAGGCGACUACCUGGCCUGUUCUUGACGCUGAGGCGCGAAAGCUAGGGGAGCAAACGGG